rnacentral:rRNA from 1 species
UACGGGGGGGUGCGAGCGUUGUCCGGAAUCACUGGGCGUAAAGGGCGCGUAGGUGGCCUGAUAAGGGUGUGGUGAAAGUCCGGGGCUCAACCCCGGAUCUGCCGUGCCGACUGUCAGGCUAGAGUACUGUAGGGGCAGGCGGAAUUCCGGGUGUAGCGGUGGAAUGCGUAGAGAUCCGGAGGAAGACCAGUGGCGAAGGCGGCUUGCCAGAACGCGCUCGACGGUGAGGGAUGAAAGCUGGGGGAGCAAACCGG